AUUUAUAUAGUUUAGAAUAAACAUUACACUUUCACUGUAAAGACAAAGAAUUAAACCUUUUAUAAAUA
rnacentral:tRNA from 1 species